rnacentral:lncRNA from 1 species
CACAAUAAUAAACUUCUACCCUAUGGUGUCACUGAGACAAAGUUUUAAGCUCUGCAUUUGUCUGUGAUCUCACUGACAUUAAAGGAAAAGAAUCUUAAUCUUGCUCAAAUUCAUUUUGUUCAGAAAGUUUCUUAGUAUCACCUAAAAGCAGGUUAUAGUGUUUGAACAAAAAAAAAUACUCUUUUAGGGUUUCAGGGAAUGAAUGUCUCUCCUCCCUAUAACGUCCUCUUAGAUUUUUCCAUUGGUAAAAGCUGUCUAUAUUGUUAAAGAAAUGAAUCAGUAAUUUAAAAACAGAUCUACAUAGUCUCAUGGUUUUUAGUUAAUAUGGCAAAUCUCUGCUUAUCCCCAAAGAAGUUACCUAAACAUGGAAACAAGACAUUUCACUCCCAAAAUUACUGUUAAUGUAACUGAUAGGUAUAGUGAGAUUUAAACUCAAACCAGAGGUGUG